rnacentral:siRNA from 1 species
GAUGCAGCUACAUGGGCUGA